rnacentral:rRNA from 1 species
UACGGGGGGGGCAAGCGUUGUUCGGAUUUACUGGGCGUAAAGGGCGCGUAGGCGGUCAGCACAAGUCAGUUGUGAAAUCUCCGGGCUUAACUCGGAAAGGUCAACUGAUACUGCGGGGCUAGAGUGCGGAAGGGGCAACUGGAAUUCUCGGUGUAGCGGUGAAAUGCGUAGAUAUCGAGAGGAACACCUGCGGCGAAGGCGGGUUGCUGGGCCGACACUGACGCUGAGGCGCGAAAGCCAGGGGAGCGAACGGG